CGAGAGGCGAAGUCUGCGUUUUCCUCUGUCAGCUGCUUGGUUUUCAGCCCGACACCGGACAGAGCGGGCGUGACCACGAUCUCAUCCUGAAGAGAUCCUUUUCUCCUGAGCGAAACAAAAACACUUUCAGAUUCCUGAUUCCUGUCAUUUUGUGUUAGAACAGCAAUAAGAAGUACCUGAAAAUGCUAUUUAGUGUUGAUUUAAGCCACGUGAAGAAGCUGAAUCGAGCUGCAAUACCUGCAAUAAAUCAAACUGUUAUUUGAA